rnacentral:rRNA from 1 species
GACGAACGCUGGCGGCGUGCUUAACACAUGUAAGUCGAACGGUGAAAGCGGAGCUUGCUCCGCUGGAUCAGUGGCGAACGGGUGAGUAACACGUGGGCAACCUGCCCUUCACUUCGGGAUAACUCCGGGAAACCGGGGCUAAUACCGGAUAUGACCUCUGCGGGCAUCCGCGGAGGUGGAAAGUUUUUCGGUGAAGGAUGGGCCCGCGGCCUAUCAGCUUGUUGGUGAGGUAGUGGCUCACCAAGGCGACGACGGGUAGCCGGCCUGAGAGGGGGACGGGCCACAAUGGGCCUGAGUCACGGCCGAGGCGCCUACGGGAGGCAGCAGUGGGGAAUAUUGCGCAAUUGGCGAAAGCCUGACGCAGCGACGCCGCGUGCGGGAUGACGGCCUUCGGGUUGUAAACCGCUCUCAGCAGGGAAGAAGCCGCAAGGUGACGGUACCUGCAGAAGAAGCACCGGCUAACUACGUGCCAGCAGCCGCCGUAA